rnacentral:tRNA from 1 species
GGGAUUGUAGCUCAGUGGUAUAGAGCGUCCGCCUGUCUAGCGGAGGGUCGCGGGUUCAAAUCCCGUCAAUCUCG